ACUCCAAGAAGAGGAACGGCAAUCUGAAAAAAAACCCCAGCCAUCUCGGGAGUCGCCGCAGGAGUCGCAGCCACCGCCGGCGCCAGCACAGUCGCCACCCGCGCAGCCGCAGCCGCAGCCGCAGCCGCAGCCGCAGCCUCCGCAGGUACCCGAGCGGCCGCCGCCGCCGCCGCCGCCUCAGCCAAAGCCACAAAAUGCCCAAGACCCUCUUACUCAGCGCACCUCCCGGUACAUUCUCCAGGAUUGCCAAAGGCCAGGACCCCACAAGGACCGAUUCCAAGGAGGGGUGAUGAACCCUCAAGGUCCAGGUUUCAGGAAAUCUAGCCCAGAUACACACACCAAGUACCCACGACUCACGGUGAGACGGCCUCAGAGUGUGAAAGGCAGCUAGAGCCUGGCUGCGUGUCUGAGCGUGCUUGCGUUCAACGAAUUACAUCCAGCAGUGGUGAUUCAGAGACAGACCCCCCCCCCCCAAGACCCCACUGGCCAUCAGCAAACAUCAGAUGAGCAGCCCCACCUUCUUACCUCCCAGCAACAUCUCCACUUCAAAAGCCAACCCCUCCUGAUCCACUCUGGCGGGGGAGGCUAGCUGGGAAUAACACGUGAUCUCUUCCCGGAAAGAAUCAAGACCCUGGCUGGGCUCCCUGAGACCGAGAUGAGGGGGAGGGGGCAGGAAGACCCACGAAGAGGAUGGAGACGGUGCGAGAAGAAAGUGGAGGGCGAUUCCAUGCUUCUCCAGGCAAAGCCAAUGGGAGAACUUGGCCUUGGGCGCCCCCCCCCGGGUCUACAGCUCCACCACUGGCCCUUAUUUAGCAGCGAGAGGCCUGCUGGGGGCUCAGGUUUAUGACUCUCACUGGAGCCACCAGCCCGUCCUCCUGGCCGACGCUUAUUGAGAUGCAUCUGGGGAAGCGGGGGUUGCAUCACACCAGAGCGGACCUGGGACCUGGGGCAGCAUCAGGAAGAAGUGGCAGGCAGGGGCCUCCCCCAAGUCCGGUGUCACGCCUGGUCCACCGUGGGCACUCUGCUGUUGAACGGACGAUGGUUGGAAGGGAUGGAGAGAAAGAACUCAGAGGAAAGGAGGACUGCAGCCUCAGGCACAGGACACCGGACCUUGGGAAGAGGGGGACUCGCCCCCGCAAAUCCACAGGCCUCUUCCUCCCUGGGUCUCAGCCUUUCCAUGUAGCAGAGACAACCGAGAGGCUCUGGAGGCCCCAGGCAUCCCCCUCACCACUUCCUGAAACUGACACCUGGGGUCCCCCAGCCCCGCUCCCUCUUCCACUCUUGACUGGUCAGGGGGGAGCCUGGGUCCUUUCACUGCUGCAGCAUCGCCUUUGGGUGAGACUGAAGGCGCCUCUCAGCGCAGCGUUUCCUGAGAGGAGCAGUUGGGGGAGGCCGAAGGAGCGGGGGCGCACAGAACGGGAGCGUGAACGUUGGGAGGGACUCCGAGAUACACAACGAGGGAAAGGGAGAGGGCGAGCUCCCCGGGAGCAGUCUCCCAGAAGGCACGGAGGCAGGGCGUGUUCCCGAGGGGCUCAGGGACCGGGGAAGAGACCCUGAGGCCCACUCGGAUAUUAAGAAACAGGCUGUGAGAUGGGGAGCGUCCACCAGCUCCCUUCCCACUCACAGGAGCCUUUUAUUUUCCUUUCUUAAACAUCGUUAAGCACCGUUUAUUGACUGCAAUAUAAGUCCAUUACAUUUGGCGAACUCCACCCAGCGUGAGCUCCAGCCUGGCCCUCGCGGACUUCCGUGCUCUUACCAGCGCCACCUCGACGCCAGUUACCCAGGCGUGGAAGCGCGCAGACAGCACCAACUCCUUCCUUCCCCUCAUCCCCCCGGCCGGCUCCUCACCCGGUUCUGGCCCCACGUCCCCUUCUCCGGUCCUUCCUACUGCAAACUCAGCUUUCCCUGCUACUCAAGCUCACCUCUCUGCCUGUCUGAGUGAUGGAAACCGUAACCGCCUUUAGUGAGCAAACACAAUUCCUGCUCGCCUAAAGAACCCGGGGGUGGGGGUGGGGGGUGGGGUUG